rnacentral:rRNA from 1 species
UACAGAGGUCCCAAGCGUUGUUCGGAUUUACUGGGCGUAAAGGGUGCGUAGGCGGUCGGGUAAGUCUGGUGUGAAAUCUUCGAGCUUAACUCGGAAACUGCAUUGGAUACUAUUCGGCUAGAGAGUUGGAGGGGGGAUUGGAAUACUUGGUGUAGCAGUGAAAUGCGUAGAUAUCAAGUGGAACACCAGUGGCGGAGGCGAAUCCCUGGACAACUUCUGACGCUGAGGCACGAAAGCUAGGGGAGCAAACAGG